CAGUCGCCGCGGGAAUACGAAGGGUGCAAGCGUUACUCGGAAUUACUGGGCGUAAAGCGUGCGUAGGUGGUUGUUUAAGUCUGCUGUGAAAGCCCUGGGCUCAACCUGGGAAUUGCAGUGGAUACUGGGCAACUAGAGUAAGGUAGAGGAUAGUGGAAUUUCCGGUGUAGCAGUGAAAUGCGUAGAGAUCGGAAGGAACAUCUGUGGCGAAGGCGACUAUCUGGGCCAUUACUGACACUGAGGCACGAAAGCGUGGGGAGCAAACAGGAUUAGAUACCCCUGUAGUCCCUGUCUCUUAUAC
rnacentral:rRNA from 1 species